GCCUAUAGCUCAGUUGGUUAGAGCAGGGGACUCAUAAUCCCUUGGUCCUAGGUUCGAGUCCUAGUGGGC
rnacentral:tRNA from 1 species